rfam:Asian citrus Psyllid, Diaphorina citri - Florida Strain, whole genome shotgun sequence.
GCCAGUGGAGGAAGCAAGUUAAAUGUACCAGUUCCCAAAGGAUCACUGAAGUUAAACAAAGUGUCGUGGUUGGUAUCCAGAUGAGUGACCCUCUGGGCAAUCACGUGCAGCUGGCU